UAGAGCCGGAUGCGCGGAAACGUGCUUGUCCGGUUCGAAGGAGGCUUUCCAGAGUAAUCCUUUCGGACCGAACUGCUUUUGUAUUGCAGUUCACACAACAAGAGAGUAAUCCUGGAUCUCUAUCCUAU
rnacentral:ncRNA from 1 species